rnacentral:lncRNA from 1 species
UCCAGGUCCCCGCCUCGGUGCCUCGGUGCCCGGCUCCGGGCCACUCCUGCAGGCCCUGCCUAGGGCAGCCGGCGGUGCCUGGAGGCGGGCUCGCCCCGGCUGCUCCACGCCCAGGCCGGUCCCUGGCAUUUCAGCCAGUGGGAGGGCGUCCCCGCCGCCCCCGUGCCUCUCCGCAGGGGCUGCGCCGCGUCCCCGGGCCUCUCCCUCCGCCGUGGCCUGGUCUGCCUGCUCCAGGGCGCAGCUGCGCCCGCUUCAGCGCCUCCCGGGUCUGCGUGGCCUGCUCGGCUCAGAGGCCUCCACCACGGUCCGCUCCCUGCCGGACGCCGCGCUGCUGUGGCCGCGGUGGUUCUGUGGCUGUGAGGGCCGUUUCUGUCCGUCCACACCGCCUUCCCUCUGCAGAUUUCCUCUGCAGAGGCCCGGAGUUACCAGCAAGGUCUGACGCAGCAGAGUGCAGAAACGGCCUCCCUGUCUGUCAAAGUGGCCUCCCGAGGACACCCAGCGAGGCCACCAGAUCAUCACGUGGAGUAUCGGUGGCCUUAUUAAAACAAAAACAACAACUCCACAGCCCGGCGAGCGUGUGAAAUCAUCA